AGAUUUACUCAAUGAAAAGUGCAAACAGAGGAAUGUUUAUCUUGAUAUCUAAUGCUCAGUGUAUACCAUGUCUAGACAGCCAGAACGAACAAGACAAGAAGAAGGCGAAGAGAUGUGAGGAGAGAUAUUCAGAAUGUAUCAGGAAUUCAGACUUUGAUAAAUCCAACAUGAGUCAGCUAUUGAAAUACAUGGGAUAUGAUUUCAAAGGUGGCGACCAGGUUAAGAACUUAACAAAAGAGGAAAUCAAAGAGUUCUUAAAAACAAAAUUAAUGGAGAUCGACAGUGAUGCGUCUUCCCAGUACGAUAGCCUGGUUAUAUUGUUUUUGUCUGGGGAAGUAAAGUGCGAAGCUGCAAAGAUUUAUGACAAAGAUGGAGUCUUUCUUCCCAGAAGUGAAAUUUUAGACAUCAUUAAAGAAUGUAAACAUUUCAAAGGGAAACCAAAACUUAUAUUUGUUCAAACCUACAGUUUCCAAGAAGAAAGUAAACCUUCGGAUCAGAGAGAUUCUACAGCUAAUGAUAUCAUAAAGAAAGGUGGGCCAAACACUGAUGACAUAUUUAUGGUAUCAAGUUACCCAAGAAUAGAGCAAGGUCCAUGGAUAAUUGGUGAAAAAUUGAUUGGAUCAUACUUCAUUCAGGCACUCGCACAUGUGUUCAAGAACUUCGCAUAUAAAAAAUGAUUUAUGGAAUUAUUGAAAGAGGCGAACAUAUGUCUGGGCCAAGCUGUGAUUCCAAAGCUGACAGACGAUGGAAAAAACAGUGGGACGGUAGAGAAAAAACCUGUUGCACAAAUUGUUUUAUUAGAAUAUUCGGAAGGGAAAGAACUCUACUUUUUUCCUGGGCUUCAGUUUCCAGCAUAAGAUUUUAUAGGCGUCGAACCUGUAAAUUUUUCUGCUUCAAUGACUGGGAAACCAGUUUCUACAGCAUCAAAUUAAAGUUACUCUAUAAGCUACACUUCAUGCAGUUAAAACAUGUUAGAACAUAUCGCUUCUUUACUAAAUGACGCUUACUUUUAUUGGCAUCUUGUAUGAGAUAACAGAUAACAAUUUAGUAGAUUGUGUAUGAUAGUGCUAUUAUUUAUACUAAUAUUGUAGCAUAAUAUUAAUAAUAAUAUUAAUGAUAAUGAAUUCCUUAUUCAAAGAGUUUAUAAACACAGUUAGUUACAACAAACUAAUCUAUCCUGAGGCUAUCACACGCAAUACAAUUAUAACAGAUAUUGACACAUAGUUAAUUUACCAUCAAGUAGUUCAAUGUAUCAAUAUAAAACAUUAAACAUUUAAAGAGGAACAUGUAGUAAAAUAUAAACAAAAUAUAAUAUACAACUUGAAC